rnacentral:rRNA from 1 species
GACGAACGCUGGCGGCGUGCCUAAUACAUGCAAGUCGAGCGAGCUUGCCUAGAUGAUUUUAGUGCUUGCACUAAAUGAAACUAGAUACAAGCGAGCGGCGGACGGGUGAGUAACACGUGGGUAACCUGCCCAAGAGACUGGGAUAACACCUGGAAACAGAUGCUAAUACCGGGUAACAACACUAGACGCAUGUCUAGAGUUUGAAAGAUGGUUCUGCUAUCACUCUUGGAUGGACCUGCGGUGCAUUAGCUAGUUGGUAAGGUAACGGCUUACCAAGGCAAUGAUGCAUAGCCGAGUUGAGAGACUGAUCGGCCACAUUGGGACUGAGACACGGCCCAAACUCCUACGGGAGGCAGCAGUAGGGAAUCUUCCACAAUGGACGAAAGUCUGAUGGAGCAACGCCGCGUGAGUGAAGAAGGGUUUCGGCUCGUAAAGCUCUGUUGGUAGUGAAGAAAGAUAGAGGUAGUAACUGGCCUUUAUUUGACGGUAAUUACUUAGAAAGUCACGGCUAACUAC